AUUGAACGCUGGCGGCAGGCCUAACACAUGCAAGUCGGGCGAGCCGCGGACGGGUGAGUAAUGUAUGGGUCUCUGCCUGAUGGCGGGGGAUAACCACUGGAAAGUGUAUCUAAUACCGCAUUCCAUCAUAGGAACCUAUAUGGGAUUAGCUAGUAGGUGGGGUAACGGCUUACCUAGGCGACGAUCCCUAGCUGGUCUGAGAGGAUGAUCAGCCACACUGGGACGGAGACACGGCCCAGACUCCUACGGGAGGCAGCAGUGGGGAAUAUUGCACAAUGGGCGCAAGCCUGAUGCAGCCAUGCCGCGUGUAUGAAGAAGGCCUUCGGGUUGUAAAGUACUUUCAGUCGGGAGGCGUUACCGACAGAAGAAGCACCGGCUAACUCCGUGCCAGCAGCCGCGGUAAUAC
rnacentral:rRNA from 1 species